ACGUCAAGUCCUCAUGGCCCUUACGGGCUGGGCUACACACGUGCUACAAUGGUGGUGACAGUGGGCAGCGAGACCGCGAGGUCGAGCUAAUCUCCAAAAGCCAUCUCAGUUCGGAUUGCACUCUGCAACUCGAGUGCAUGAAGUUGGAAUCGCUAGUAAUCGCGGAUCAGCAUGCCGCGGUGAAUACGUUCCCGGGCCUU
rnacentral:rRNA from 1 species